CCAUAGAUUUAUCACCACCCUAUGUGGUAGAUACUGUCAUUCCCAUUCCCACUUUAAUUUUAGGUGAAGAAACUAAAGGUGAGAAAGGGGAAGAAGUAAAGUGCCCCUGACACACAGCUACCAAGAGAGUCAGUGGUACCGUAUCAUCCUUCCUCCUGUUGGUUCUAGCAGUUGUUUCACGAUUCCAUUUAAACAGGUCGGGAAACAGGCUAGAGGAUAGUCAAGGAGCCACAGUGAAAAAGAGGUAGCGAUGGAUUUUGACCUCAGGUCUGUGGUUUUUAACCCUCGGCUACUUCCAGUAUGCCAACAACAUUCUUGUUACUCCAAGUGUGAACCAGCAGCAUCUGCCAUCAUCUGAAAAUUGUAAAAUAUGGCUUCCUAGGACCCACUUAGAUCCACUGAGUCAGAGCUGCAUUGCCACACAGCCUCUGGGGGAUUAUGGGUACUCUGACAUUUGAGAAGCAGCGGUCUGCAUAGUUCUUCCUGGCCAUGAAGUAUGCUUGCUUCGGGCAGAGGCAGUGUGGCAGCCUGUCUCCCAAGCUGGCCCCAGCCAUCCCUCCCCUCUCCCUGUAUUCCAGAUGCCAUGCUGUGAGAAGCUGAGGCUGCAUGGAGAAGAUAUGGGAGUGAGACGUGAGGCGCUCCACUUUAUGGUCCCAUCCAAGCAUCCACCUGACCCCAGCUGCUGGCCAG